rnacentral:rRNA from 1 species
UACGUAGGUGGCAAGCGUUGUCCGGAUUUACUGGGUGUAAAGGGCGUGUAGCCGGGCUGACAAGUCAGAUGUGAAAUCCGGGGGCUCAACCCCCGAACUGCAUUUGAAACUGUUGGUCGUGAGUAUCGGAGAGGCAGGCGGAAUUCCUAGUGUAGCGGUGAAAUGCGUAGAUAUUAGGAGGAACACCAGUGGCGAAGGCGGCCUGCUGGACGACAACUGACGGUGAGGCGCGAAAGCGUGGGGAGCAAACAGG